rnacentral:misc_RNA from 1 species
AAGUCGUAACAAGGUAUCUGUAGGUGAACCUGCAGAUGGAUCAUUACAAAAGUCUCUUGACUUACUAGUAUUGUGAACUUGUAUUUAAGAAGGGACGGUUGGCAUGACUGGGUCUUAGUGCCCUGCCCAUCCAGCCGCCCCACACUUUAAACGUCACUUUAUCACGCUUAAACCAAAGAUUUUAAAUAAAAGACAACUUUUAGCAACGGAUCUCUUGGUUCUC